rnacentral:rRNA from 1 species
UACGGAGGGGGUUAGCGUUGUUCGGAAUUACUGGGCGUAAAGCGCGCGUAGGCGGAUUGGAAAGUAGGGGGUGAAAUCCCGGGGCUCAACCCUGGAAUGGCCUUCUAAACUCCCAGUCUUGAGGUCGAGAGAGGUGAGUGGAAUUCCGAGUGUAGAGGUGAAAUUCGUAGAUAUUCGGAGGAACACCAGUGGCGAAGGCGGCUCACUGGCUCGAUACUGACGCUGAGGUGCGAAAGCGUGGGGAGCAAAC